rnacentral:rRNA from 1 species
GGAGAGUUUGAUCCUGGCUCAGAACGAACGCUGGCGGCAGGCUUAACACAUGCAAGUCGAGCGACCCUUUCGGGGGGAGCGGCGGACGGGUGAGUAACGCGUGGGAACGUACCCUUUUCUACGGAAUAGCAUUUGGAAACGAAUGGUAAUACCGUAUACACCCUUCGGGGGAAAGAUUUAUCGGAAAAGGAUCGGCCCGCGUUAGAUUAGGUAGUUGGUGGGGUAACGGCCUACCAAGCCACCGAUCUAUAGCUGGUUUGAGAGGAUGAUCAGCCACACUGGGACUGAGACACGGCCCAGACUCCUACGGGAGGCAGCAGUGGGGAAUCUUGGACAAUGGGGGAAACCCUGAUCCAGCCAUGCCGCGUGAGUGAAGAAGGCCCUAGGGUCGUAAAACUCUUUCAACUGUGAAGAUAAUGACGGUAGCAGUAGAAGAAGUCCCGGCUAACUCCGUGCCAGCAGCCGCGGUAAUACGGAGGGGACCAGCGUUGUUCGGAAUUACUGGGCGUAAAGCGUACGUAGGCGGAUUAGUAAGUUAGAGGUGAAAUCCCGGGGCUUAACCCCGGAACUGCCUUUAAAACUGCUAGUCUUGAGGUCGAGAGAGGCGAGUGGAAUUCCAAGUGUAGAGGUGAAAUUCGUAGAUAUUUGGAGGAACACCAGCGGCGAAGGCGGCUGGCUGGUUCGAAACUGAGGCUGAGGUACGAAAGUGUGGGGDGCAAACAGGAUUAGAUACCCUGG